GAUGAACGCUGGCGGCGUGCCUAAUACAUGCAAGUAGAACGCUGAAGGAGGAGCUUGCUCUUCUGGAUGAGUUGCGAACGGGUGAGUAACGCGUAGGUAAUCUGCCUGGUAGCGGGGGAUAACUAUUGGAAACGAUAGCUAAUACCGCAUGACAACAGUUAUUGCAUGAUAACUGUUUAAAAGGGGCAACUGCUCCACUACCAGGUGGACCUGCGUUGUAUUAGCUAGUUGGUGAGGUAACGGCUCACCAAGGCGACGAUACAUAGCCGACCUGAGAGGGUGAUCGGCCACACUGGGACUGAGACACGGCCCAGACUCCUACGGGAGGCAGCAGUAGGGAAUCUUCGGCAAUGGAUGGAAGUCUGACCGAGCAACGCCGCGUGAGUGAAGAAGGUUGUCGGAUCGUAAAGCUCUGUUGUAAGAGAAGAACGAGUGUGAGAGUGGAAAGUUCACACUGUGACGGUAUCUUACCAGAAAGGGACGGCUAACUACGUG
rnacentral:rRNA from 1 species